rnacentral:lncRNA from 1 species
UAUAUACUCGGAGGUGAUGAUCUAAAUACAUCUAUUAUGUGAGCAAUGUUCUUCUUGUCAUCUGAUCUGUCAUGUUCACCUAUUAUGUCAAUGCCUCCUUUUAUGCUUUCUAUCUGUCAUGAAUAUGCUUGUUCCUUAAUAAUCCUAGAUUAUACUACAUAGCAUGCUUUAUGUAAUCAUGGUGAUUAGAUCUAGUAUGUUGACCCAUCUUGAUAGCUUGACAUGUUCACCUGUGUUUGUGCCCUGAAAUUGGCUGCAUCGAUAGAGGAGAUCAUGAGAGGGUCUGCUUCUAUGUAGGGUGGGAGUUUCCAGGAGAUUGACCGGAGGUAGUGGUUUAAAGAUUGCUUUGGAUGAGAUGCAUGAUGUGUUUGUUCAUUGGCUAGAAGUAAAAGUAAAAGAUGAUAGGCUCUUGUUGCCCUUGGUGGUGUUAUAUCAUAUAUACAUAUGUGGAUGCGAUCAACCCUUAUUCAUGAUAUUAAUCUUUACAACAAAUUUGCCUUCAUAUGCAAUCAAUGCUUCAUGUUACGAUUGAUGUAACACCU